UUAAGCAUAUCAUAAGCGGAGGGAAAAGAAACUAACAAGGAUUCCCCUAGUAACUGCGAGUGAAGCGGGAAAAGCUCAAAUUUGAAAUCUGGCAGUUCUUGACUGUCCGAGUUGUAAUCUAGAGAAGUGUUACCUGUGCUGGACCGUGUACAAGUCUCCUGGAAUGGAGCAUCACAGAGGGUGAGAAUCCCGUCUUUGACAUGGACUCCCAGUGCAUUAUGGUGUGCUCUCGAAGAGUCGAGUUGUUUGGGAAUGCAGCUCAAAAUGGGUGGUAAAUGCCAUCUAAAGCUAAAUAUUGGCGAGAGACCGAUAGCGAACAAGUACCGUGAGGGAAAGAUGAAAAGUACUUUGGAAAGAGAGUUAAACAGUACGUGAAAUUGCUGAAAGGGAAACGCUUGAAGUCAGUCGCGUUGGCUUGAAAUCAGCCUGCUCUUGCAUGGUGUACUUUCUGGUUGACGGGUCAGCAUCAAUUUUGACCACUGGAUAAAGUCUAUGGGAAUGUGGCAUCUUUGGAUGUGUUAUAGCCCAGAGUCGCAUACAGUGGUUGGGAUUGAGGAACUCAGCACGCCGCAAGGCCAGGUUUCGACCAUGUUCGUGCUUAGGAUGCUGGCAUAAUGGCUUUAAUCGACCCGUCUUGAAACACGGACCAAGGAGUCUAACAUGCCUGCGAGUGUUUGGGUGGAAAACCCAUGCGCGCAAUGAAAGUGAAAGUUGAGAUCCCUUCAGGGAGCAUUGACGCCCAGACCAGACCUUUUGUGACGGAUCUGCGGUAGAGCAUGUAUGUUGGGACCCGAAAGAUGGUGAACUAUGCCUGAAUAGGGUGAAGCCAGAGGAAACUCUGGUGGAGGCUCGUAGCGAUUCUGACGUGCAAAUCGAUCGUCAAAUUUGGGUA
rnacentral:rRNA from 1 species